UCGGGAAUAUUGGACAAUGGGCGCAAGCCUGAUCCAGCAAUACCGCGUGUGUGAAGAAGGCCUGCGGGUUGUAAAGCACUUUCAGUUGGGAAGAUAAUGACGUUACCAACAGAAGAAGCACCGGCUAACUCCGUGCCAGCAGCCGCGGUAAUACGGAGGGUGCAAGCGUUAAUCGGAAUUACUGGGCGUAAAGCGUGCGUAGGCGGCCUGUUAAGUCAGAUGUGAAAGCCCCGGGCUUAACCUGGGAACUGCAUCUGAUACUGGGAGGCUAGAAUGUGGGAGAGGAGAGUGGAAUUUCCGGUGUAGCGGUGAAAUGCAUAGAGAUCGGAAGGAACACCAGUGGCGAAGGCGGCUCUCUGGACCAACAUUGACGCUGAGGCACGAAAGCGUGGGUAGCAAACAGG
rnacentral:rRNA from 1 species